rnacentral:tRNA from 1 species
UCGCUUAUAGCAUAGCAUAUGCAAUAAAUUGUAAAUUUAAUGACAGACAACACUAAUUGUCUUAGGCGAA